rnacentral:lncRNA from 15 species
CUCUUAUACUCUUUAUUUAAUUUGAACAAAUUGUCCUUUGCCAAAGAAAAUUGGUGUUUCCUUUGAAACACUUAAGUUUUAAAACUAGGAGGUACUGUAAGACAACUUAAGACUGGAGAAAGAGGAGGAAGAACACCUGACGACUGGAAUGGAAAUUAAAGCAGGAAACAACUAACGUGUCUUCCACAAAGGUGCUACAUAAGUUACAUGACUGAGGCAGCUGUCAGCAACAUGCUCGUGUCUGCUACCUACAGGUAAGAAAAAUAAUAUAAUAAUAAUAAUUUGUGCCACCUGCAGGCAGUAAGUGUUUUCACGUU